CCAAAACACACAUUUAUGACAAUCAUCAUUCGCACAGAAUAAACUUCUAACAGCUGUAUUCAGAACAUAUUAUUGUAAGGUAUACCAAUUUUAGUUUGUAUCAAAUUUAUUUAAGAGUUCUGGUACCAAAGGAUUUAUUUUUUCUUUUUAAAGAAGGGAUCCCGUAUGGCUAUAUAACGCGUUUGACUUAAACAUUUGUAUAACACUUGCAUUAACCAGUUGCAACAUAUGUACCCUGUCAAUGGAAUUUCUCUCUUAUACGCUUAUAGAACAUUUGGACCAGAUUACACAGACAUGGUAUCACCUGCAUUUGUCAGAACUCUCAAAGACUCAAAAUGUUUAUACUACUCCAUGUUAAAGGCAUGGCAAAAUUUUGACCGGUCAAUUUGAGUUUCCAAAAGUCAUAUCAACACAGGUUAAAACCUUUGUCCAUGGUUUUCUGAUCCUACAUUCCAUGACCAAAAUUUCAAACCCACUUCUGAACAGUUUGGGUCACCAUCAAUAAAAUCUCAGCAUCCCCAUACAACAAUUUACAGAAUACAUACAAUUUAAAGCACAUACAACAUGUGACGUACUGGAAUACUACAAGUUAGCUUACAGCACAAAAUGAAGCAUGUGUUGGAACGCUGAAAAUAUACAUUUUGCUCUCUAAUUCAUAAUCAUCUAAAUUUACAACAUAAGUUCUCUGCAACAAACACUCAGGGCAGAAAGAAUGUGGUGUUUGACGUUUUGAAUGAAGUGACUUUUUGUCCCAAUAUGAAAAUAAAGGGCUCAUCAUAUAAACAAUCAUACAUCCCACUCUCAUGAAAAAGUGUAGUGGGCUUAUAGUACUUUUGUCCAAGUAUAAAAAUAAAGGGCUCAUUAUGCAAACAAACAUACAUGCAGAGAAAUCAUGUUAGUUCUAGAAUGUGUAGCCCCCCUUAAAUAAUCUCUAUUUUUUUUCUUAUUCAUCAUCACCUUUACAUGUACUUUAUACAUUCCCUCAAUUAAGACUUUAUGCUUAAAAUCAGCAUUGCACAUCAUAAAAUAGCACAUAAAGUAGCAAGCUGGAGUAAUGCCAAACAUCCAUCAUACAGGGUUUAAACAAUAUUCCCUUUUAACCCUUUAAAAAAAAAAAAAAAAAAUUUAGUCUGCAAAACCCACAUGUACAUUACAUCACAUGACAUGACAGCCUGCCAAAGGCUUGAAAAUCUUUUUACCACCUGCCAAAGGUGAACCUCGAGGAAUUGUCUACCAUAGACAAUUGUGCACAAUACUGCCUGCCAAAGGCUUUCCUCCAACCCACGGAGUAAUAAAAGUCUAGCUAAGACUUAAAAGACAUUAUGCAGUGAAUAUCUUCUUUAAAAAUUUAAAUAGUGAAAACCCCAGUAAAACAAGAAAUGCAAUGUGUGGGAGGAUGGCAGAAGCAGGUAAAGGUCCCCAACCCCUUAAGGACACAUGACAGAAAUUUUCCAUCAUGAUUCCAUUUUAUUUCAGAAGUUGUGUCCCUAAGGGCUUAAAGAUCAUGAUACCUGUAAUUUUCGUUCCCAAUUGCACCCAAAAACUUCUGACACCAAUUUGUUGGGGAUAAAAUCAGCCCGGGCCCUUUGUGGAUGAUGGAUAUUUGCCAACUCAUUCAGAGCUCUGGAAAUUGGAAAUGAAUAGCAGAGACGUGUUCA
rnacentral:lncRNA from 1 species